AAUUUUUUAAAAGGUGUUAUUUUCUUUAAGUUGGCAGCUCGAACUGCUGAAAGAAACUUGAAUGAGUUAAGGAAAGAAAAUGCUUACAACAGACAAAAAUUAACUGAAACAGAGUUUAAAUUUGAACUUUUAGAAAAAGAUCCUUAUGCACUUGAUGUUCCAAAUACAGCAUUUGGCAGAGAGCAUUCCCCAUAUGGUCCGUCACCAUUGGGUCGGCCUUCAUCUGAGACGAGAGCUUUUCUCUCUCCUCCAACCUUGUUGGAGGGUCCACUCAGACUCUCACCUUUGCUUCCAGGGGGAGGAGGAAGAGGCUCAAGAGGCUUAGAGAAUCCUCUGGACCAUCAGAUUAGCAAUGAGAGAGGAAACUCAAGCUACGAUAGGUUAACCGAUCCUCAUAGAGCACCUUCUGACACUGGAUCUCUGUCACCUCUGUGGGAACAGGACCGUAGGGUGAUGAUUCCUCCACCAGGCCAACCAUAUCCUGACCCAGCUCUUCCACUACAAAAGCAAGAUAGAUACUAUUCUAAUUCUGGUAGACUAUCUGGACCUGCAGAACUCAGAAGUUAUAAUAUGCUUUCUUUGGAUAAAGUGGAAUUCAAAUGUGCCUGAUUCUUCUCUCCCUGCUGAAAGCAAAGCAACUGGCCCUGGGUUUGUUCCUCCACCUCUUCCUCCAGUUGGAGGUCAGCCGUUUCUAAUGUAUCCGAGGAGCCAGGUCCUGAGGAGAGGACCUCCUUUUCCUCCACCUCCUCCAGGAAACAUGUAUGGAGCACCUCGAGAUUAUUUUCCACCAAGGGAUUUCUCUGGCCCACCGCCUCCAUUCCCAAGUAGGCCUUAUUCUUUAAAAACAUAAUUUGUGUUUUACACAGUAAAUCAAAGAUGCUAAUUUUACUGUCUAUUCAUAUGGUAAUACUGUAGAAGAAUGAUUUUUCUGACAUUCUGUCAAUAUACCAUUACUUUUCCAAAUUGAGAAGGCAAUCAACCAUCAGCAGACUGUAGUGAGACUAUAGUAGACUGUUGAUUUAUCUUAAUAAUGUGGAACUAUUUCUGUAUUGUAGUAGUCUGGAGAAAUCAUUGACUUUUUUGCAGUAGUCUUACGUUAAGACUAAAAUUAUUUGCAUCUUUCUCUCUUUUUUUCCAGUCCUGGGGAUUGAACCCAGGGUCUUAUACUAGCUCUAUCACUGAGCUACAUUCCCCACCCAUUUUUAUUUUGAGUCAGGGUCUCAUUAUUGUCCAGGCUGGCCCCAAAUUUGUGAUCUCUCUGCUUCAGCCUCCUGAGUAGCUAGGGUUAUAGACAUGUGGCACCAUGGUCUGGCUUGUAGCUCAUUGAAUAGAAACUUGUUAUUGUUGACAAUUAGUUAAUUAUAAUUUAUAUUUUUGGAUUGAAAUUACUGGCUAUUGCUUCUCGGCCUUUUGGCUAAGAUCAAGUGUAAAAUUACUGGCUAACUAGGCCUGGUGGUGCAUGCUUAUAAUCUGAGCACUUGGGAGGCUGGGGCAAGAGGAUUGCAACGAGUUGAUGGCCAGCAGAGGCUACAUAAUGAGUUCAAGGCCAGCCUGAACUAUAUAGCGAGACCUUGUCUCAAAACAAAAAAUUACUGGCUAAUGUAUUUUUAGUCUUUCAAAAGUGGUUGCCAUGUAGUCCUACAUAUUUAAAAUCUAAGAUGUAUUUAUCAUGUUGGAAUUAUUUAAAUUCUUUCAUAGUCUUGGAAAAAAGGAAUAACUUAUUGCUUUUAUAGCCAUACUUUACCACUUAGAACUAAAGGUUUUUGCAGAAUAAAUAUCUGAUUAUCAAAUAAUAGACAAAAGUCCAUUCUUUGUCUUAUGUUCUCUCAGUUUUCCUCUAUUUUUAAAAUUUGGGGAAUUUCAAGAUGAUCUUGGUAUCACUGGAAAUGUUUCAGUAUAAUAUGAAGUCAGAAUCACUGAUCCGAGUGUUAAAUGGUGGAAAUGAUAUUACAUGAAAAUGUUUUUUAAGGUGAGGUUUGUAUAUUACAAAAUAAUUCCACUUUUUUAAAGUGUUAGGACAAAAAUUGUGUUUAAAAUUAUAUUCCCAUUAAUCAAAUAUAGUUGAAGAAAGUACAUUUUCCCAAUGUAACACUUUUAUCGUUUAGAUAAGUAAUUAUUCUGGUGUCAGGUUUUGAAUAUAAGAAUAGGUAUUGGGGGCCAGGGAUUUAGCUCAGUGGUGCUGCCGCCUGCCUCGUAGGUGCAAGGUCCUGAGUUCAAUCCCCAGUACCAAAAAAAAAAGAUAUUGGAAUUUAUAAGCUAAUGAUUUUAAUAGGACUGCAAUACAGGUUCUUAAAGUUUAAAAAUGUCUUUUACCAAUCUUUUUGAACAGUGAGAAAUGUCUAUCCACGGGGUUUUCCUCAUUAUCUUCCCCCAAGAGCUGGAUUUUUCCCCCCACCCCCACAUUCUGAAAGUAGAAGUGAGUUCCCUUCAGGGUCGAUUCCGCCUUCAAAUGAGCCUGCUGCUGAACAUCCAGAGCCACAACAAGAAACCUGACAAUAUUUUUGAUCUCUCUUCAAAAGUAAUUUUAUCUCUCAUUUUCAGUUUAAGUAACUGCUGUUACUUAAGUGAUUAUACUUUUGCUCAAAUUGAAGCUUAAUGGAAUUACAAUUCUCAGGAUAGUAUUUUGUAAAUAAAGAUGAUUUAAAUAUGAAUUUUAUGAGUAAAUUAUUUCCAUUUUAUUUUAUUCUAAGUAGUAUAACUAUUUUAAUUUGAUUAUCUGGUCCACUAUUACAUAAACAAUAAUGGGAGUUUUAUAUAUGUAAUCUUUCAGUUGGGAAUAUUUAAAAUUGCAAACAAAGGCUACCUUUAUGCCAAGAAAUGUAUUUGCUAUGGUUGUACACAAAUAUGAAAGUAACUUUAUGCCUAAAUAAAUAAAUUUUAAUUGAUUUAAAGUCUUUUUUUGCAUUGACAAUAAAACCAGCUAGUUUUCCAUAAAUAUGGCUUCAUAAAUUAGUUUCUUUGUACCAAUAACUUUGAAGUUCAAAACUAAAGCUUUUUGUGGUGUUGAUUUGAUUAUCUUACCAAAAAUUUGUCCUCUUUCUUUCUUUCUUUUUUUUUUUUUUGUCCUCUUUCUUGAGAAUAGACAAGAGUAACCCAAAGCAACAAAUUAAUAUACUUUAAAAAGUCAGAAU
rnacentral:lncRNA from 1 species